AGAAAAAAGCAGAAGCACCCGCUUCUCGCCUUGGUGAUAAGUGUCGCCGGGCUGACGAGUUGAAGUACGACGAUCGAGAGGAUUCUCGGUAGUUUUGCGGCGGGGUGUUUUACCCCGCCUUUUUGCUUGAUC
rfam:Lactobacillus ingluviei strain DSM 14792 Scaffold5, whole genome shotgun sequence.